GUCAGCCAAGUCUCUCAUAACCUCAAGCUCAUAUUCUUUCCAACCUAACAAAGACUUCUCAACCAAAACCUGUGAUGUCAAACUAGCUGCCAACCCCGACUUACAUAUCGCCUCGAAUUCCUCCCUGUUAUACGCAAUUCCACCACCCGUCCCACCCAAUGUAAAAGCUGGCCUAAUAAUCAACGGAAACUCCCCUAUUUCACUAGCUAUCUCAAAACACUCCUCCAAUGUAUUCCCAAUCCCUGAAGGUGGAGUCCUUAUCCCAAUAUUCUUCAUUGCCUGCUUAAACAAAUCCCUAUCCUCCGC
rnacentral:lncRNA from 1 species